rnacentral:lncRNA from 1 species
AGCUGAGGGGAGCGUCGCGGGCCGAGGAGCAGAUGCCGCGGGGGCCGCUCGCAGCCGCCGCUGACUUGUGAAUGGGACCGGGACUGGGGCCGGGACUGACACCGCAGCGCUUGCCCUGCGCCAGGGACUGGCGGCUCGGAGGUUGCGUCCACCCUCAAGGGCCCCAGAAAUCACUGUGUUUUCAGCUCAGCGGCCCUGUGACAUUCCUUCGUGUUGUCAUUUGUUGAGUGACCAAUCAGAUGGGUGGAGUGUGUUACAGAAAUUGGCAGCAAGUAUCCAAUGGGUGAAGAAGGUUGCUGAGGUCAGAUGGCUAUGGUAUCCCAAGUAACUUAUUUGUUCUCAAUUCGCAUCUUGGAGAAAGCACCUCAUCACCCUCUUGGGGGCAUCUCCAUGUUCAAGGCAUGGGUACCCUUAGAGUUCCACAUGGCUGGGGAAGCCUCACAAUUAUAGUUGAAGGCGAGGAGGAGCAAGUCAUAUCUUACGUGGAUGGCAGCAGGAAAAGAGAGAGAGCUUGUGCAGGGAAACUCCCCUUUAUAAACCUG